ACACCAAAUCUCUCGAUCUCCCUCGUUCCCACUUUAUUUUGAGCACUUUUACAGCCAGAACGAGCGGAAAAUUGGGGGGUUUUCUCUAAGAGAGGAGGGCUCGAACUCAUAUUGGCUUCAAUGUUUGGGCUUCGCUCCUGCAGUAUGGCGAUUGUAAAGAGGAGGUUGAAGAUCCAGAGUUAGGAGUAGGGCUUGAGAAGGAUAAGAUCAGCUUGAAGUUCAACCCUUUACCUUUGGGUUUGAGCUCCACUGAGAAGAAUAGUAUAGUUCCCGCAAGCAAAAUUUAGGGAUUACUAAGUCACCACAAUGUUCACUGUUGUUGUGCUCAUAUGCUGUUUGAUUAUUCAGCAGUCAUCUACUGCUCUCAUUUAUUUACAAGGAGCCAUUCCAGGGCCCUGUCGGAGAAAAUGCACCUUGUGCUCAUAUUUACACAUAUGCUUGUGAACAGACUCACAUAUAAGCUACAAUGUUAUUCAAAGCAUGGAAUGUGUUUUUUGACUUUUAUGGUUCAUUUUUUAAUGAAUGAAAUGAAUGGAAUGAGUUGUAAUUG